rnacentral:rRNA from 1 species
CCUGGCUCAGAUUGAACGCUGGCGGCAUGCUUUACACAUGCAAGUCGAACGGGGUUGGGGAGCUUGCUUCCAAUCUAGUGGCGAACGGGUGAGUAAUACAUCGGAACGUACCGUGUAGUGGGGGAUAACGUAGCGAAAGUUACGCUAAUACCGCAUACGAUCCACGGAUGAAAGCAGGGGACCUUCGGGCCUUGUGCUAUACGAGCGGCCGAUGUCUGAUUAGCUAGUUGGUGAGGUAAAGGCUCACCAAGGCGACGAUCAGUAGCGGGUCUGAGAGGAUGAUCCGCCACACUGGGACUGAGACACGGCCCAGACUCCUACGGGAGGCAGCAGUGGGGAAUUUUGGACAAUGGGCGCAAGCCUGAUCCAGCCAUGCCGCGUGUCUGAAGAAGGCCUUCGGGUUGUUAAAGGGUAACGUUUUAGUUCGUA